rnacentral:rRNA from 1 species
GGUCUUGAACAGGCCCGGAGGCGAAGCGAAAGCGAACCCGGGACUCCGUCWCUCCAGAGUGUUGGGGCGGAAGCACCGGGGGCCCGGCAAACACGGUCGGUCGGCGUCUCUUCGGUCGUGGCGAGGGAGGGUUCUUCGUGGACUCUCUCCGCCCGGCACGACCUGGCGCACUAGACUGGCCUGCCGGAGUCUGGAGCGCACGGGUCGGUACCCGAAAGAUGGUGAACUAUGCCUGACCCGGUCGAAGACGCGGGAAACGGUGCCGGAGGACCCUAGGGGUUCUGACGUGCAAAUCGAUCCCGCGAGUUUCGUAUAGGGGCGAAAGACUAAUCGAACCAUCUAGUAGCUGGUUCCCUCCGAAGUUUCCCGUAGGAUAGCCGGCGCUCGUGUGAGCAGUCGCUCCUCGUAGAGCGAAUGAUUAGAGGCCCCGGGGGCCUUUGACGCCCUCGACCUAUUAUCAAACUGCAACGAGGUGCGUGUCUGUGGUCGGGACUGCGUGAGUGUAAUCGAGUCCCGACACGAAGGUGUGGAGAUUUAAACGUCUCCGCACCGAAGGAUGUAGA